UACGUAGGGUGCAAGCGUUGUCCGGAAUUAUUGGGCGUAAAGGGCUCGUAGGCGGUUUGUCGCGUCGGGAGUGAAAACUCAGGGCUUAACCCUGAGCCUGCUUCCGAUACGGGCAGACUAGAGGUAUGCAGGGGAGAAUGGAAUUCCUGGUGUAGCGGUGAAAUGCGCAGAUAUCAGGAGGAACACCGGUGGCGAAGGCGGUUCUCUGGGCAUUACCUGACGCUGAGGAGCGAAAGUGAGGGGAGCGAACAGG
rnacentral:rRNA from 1 species